CACCAUCUUCUUGUUCGGGUUCCGGGCGGUGACCGUCAGCGUGAUGGCGUCGGUGAGCAGGGGCGCCGUCGGGGAGGACGUGAGGUUGAGCGAGGCGAGGCGGACGGACGAGACGGUGAAGGACGGGCGCUGCGGGCGGUACAGGAGGUAGAAGGCGCCGCCGGCGACGGCGGCCACGAAGGCGAGGAGGAUGAUGGCUAGCAGCGCCCAGCAGAAGCAGCAGCAGAAGCUGCACCGGCAGGAACGACCGCGCCGGCGCUUCGCGGGAGCUUGGGGACGGUAGAUGGGCCGCUGGUACAUCUGCGACUUGGGCGCCGGGAACGACGCCGCCGCGUUGCCGUUGCCGGUGCCGGCGCCGUUGGCCGCCGUCGCCGCGCCUGGUGGCGGGUUCGGCUUGGCCGCGGGGUAGACGCGGUCCGCCAUUGGUAGAGCCACGCACACGCAGACAGCAGCGGGCGCGGUGAGACGGUGGUGGAGCUGGGCUUGGACGGCGGCGGCUGCUGCUGCUGGUGCUGUGGCUCUCUGGAGGUGGUGGUGGUCCUGUGGAUGGAGCUCUUGAAUGGACGCGGAGAGAUCUCUAAUAAGGGAAGGGGAAGCGGGGGAGGCGAGGAGAGAGAGACGAAGGAGAGCGACGCGUCACCCACCUCGCGAUGGAUCGAGCUCACCGAAUGAUUUCUCGCUACACGAAUUUGCUAAUUGGCCCAUUGGCAUUAAAAUCCUUGAAUUAAUUAAUGACAAAAGGGAGAGGAAGGCUUUACUGAAUCCGUGUACUAUUAUGGCUGCUGCUGCUACUACUACUGCAUUGCAUGGGUGCAUUUUGCAUUCUUCGUGGUAAAGCAUUUUUUUUACUGUAAUCACACAUUGAGCAUCCUUGGUAGUGAUAGAAGCACCUCUACACGACUAGGACCUUGUUUAGUUCCCAGAAAAUUUUGCAAAAUUUUUUACAUUCCCCAUCACAUCGAGGCCUUGUUUAGUUUUCAAAAAAAUUUGUAAAAUUUUUCAGAUUUCCUGUCACAUCGAAUCUUUAGACACAUGCAUGAAGUACUAAAUAUAGAAAAAAAUAAAAACUAAUUGCACAAUUUGAUCAAAAUUGACGAGACAAAUCUUUUAAGCCUAGUUAGUCUAUGAUUGGACAAUAUUUGUCAAAUACAAACGAAAAAGCUACAGUGUCCAUUUUGCAAAAUAUUUUGGAACUAAACAAGGCCCGAAUCUUUAGACGUAUGCAUGAAGUAUUAAAUAUAGACGAAAAUAAAAACUAAUUGCACAGUUUUGUCGAAAUUGACGAGACGAAUCUUUUCAGCCUAGUUAGUCCAUAAUUAGACAAUAUUUGUCAAAUACAAACGAAAGUGCUACAGUGUCGAUUUUCCAAAAAAUUUUCAGAACUAAACAAGACCUAGUACUAAUGUGUGUAGGAUUCAUCCUGUGGUGUGUGAACCAUUGCAUUAAACUUGCAUACUACAUGAGAAAAACACGGCACUGUGUACUAUUUGUGCAACUUUUACGUGCAUCCCCAUCUCAUGUGUUCCUCCUUAUUUGCAACUUAUUAGUAGUACUAGCUAAUCGCCAGAGCUAGCUAGCAGAGUGAGAGUAGUUUGAAUACUCCAUUGGCCAUUGGCAUCUUUUGACUUUGAUCGUCCCGGAGCCGGCGCUGUCAGCGAGUUAAUUUGGAGUAGGUGCUGUCGUUAUGCUCAAGGUUACGUAUCUCAACACCUGGCGGUGCUGCUGCCUGCUACAUUUAAAUCUAAACCGUGUUUUUCACGCAAGGACAAUCGCAAUCGCAAACGUAAAAUCUGGGACAAGGAUCACAAAUACAAGUAUACUGUAGUAGUAUACUAUUGCCGUGUCACUCGUGUCAGCAGCGGCCAGCUGCCUGCUGCCGUUCUGUCUUUCCAAGUUACGGGAACAGCUCUGGUUCAGUGUGUGGCUGGAGACGUGCAGGUUCCAACCUGUGAUUGUGAUUAGCAUGCAUUAGCUUGGAGGAGUAUGUGUACUGUAUGUAUUAGCAGCGGCGGCAACAACAGGCAAAUAAUUGGCACGCACGACGGCGUCCCGCUGGCAGCGUCGUGUCGUCGUGCGGUGCGGCUCCGCCGGCGGCCAUCCACCCGCAUGGAAACAGGCCGAAUCCGAAUCCGAAUCCAACCAACCUCGCCGGGGCCCUGCCACCCCGCGCCCGCGCGCGCGGCUCACACAACUCAACAGCUAUGCAUGCAGUGGGCGCUCACCCUGGCCACCCUCGUGUCGUGUCUGCCAUGUCGAUGCAGCAGGACAACUCAGGGAUGGAAUAUCCACGUGAUCAAGGUAUUGUUUAGUUUCCAAAAGUUUUUGAAUUUAGCUAUCGUAACAUUUUUACUUUAUUUGAUAAUUAGUGUCUAAUUAUAGAUUAAUUAGAAUUAAAAGAUUUAUCAUUUACAUGUAAACUGUAUAAUUAAUUUUUAUUUUUAUUUACAUUUAAUGCUCUUUGCAUAUGUAUAAAGAUUCGAUAUAAUGAACGAAAAUUUUUUUAGACGCAAAACUUAAUAAAGCCCAAGUUUCUUCGAUCUUCUUGUUGCGUCCAAAAUGAUUGGACAAUUCAAAUUCUGCAAGCCUCAUAGACGCAUUAUUAAGCUAGUAACUUUUUUUUUUCUAGUACUGGCUAUGCACAAGUGGUACUGUUGGAAUAUCAAUGCAUUACAUGUUUGACUGCGCUAUUUUAAUUUCUAUUUAUUUAUUUAGGUACAACUCAGACGUACACAACUUAUACAAUUCAUACUUACACACACGACACUGAGAAGAGACUGAGAGGCCCUCCCUAAAGGUGUUAACCGUGCAAGCAACCAAGCGAGCGGCAGUGGCAGCGACCGUCGCGUGAGCGGUCUAGCGAACAGAAAGCGCCUAGGUAUGGACUUCAAGUGAAAACCGAACCAUGAAUCGAAAAACAAAACAUAACAUAACAUAACCAAAGUCGUCAGUUCAUUUGUUUCCCUUGCACAGAUCGGUUAUAGUCGCUCCUCAAACCAAAGUCUUCUUGCACUGAAUAAACUGAAACGAGAUUUAAACCAAUUGCCCAGCCCUAUCGAUUUGGUACAUGAAUCUAUAUAUAUAAUCGCAUUCUACGAAUCAAUUUCUAAGGACAAUGAUAAAUAUGUUGUUUGUAGAGACUCAUCAGUAGAGAUAAUUGUAAAAACUAUCUCUAUCAAAUACCAUUUGACUAUAAGUUUGUUCGCUUAAGCUUAUCUUCCGAAUCAGUCAACUAUUCAGUAGUGUUCUUUUUUCAUAAUAAAUCAGCAAACAGUAUUUUCAACCAUGACUUAACAUGAUAGUGUCUCAUGCGCAUCGGCCUCUCAUGUCCAAACUCUCAAUGCCAAGAAACAGAAAACGCAAGAGAGUUUAGCAACGUGUAGCAUGGAGCACAUCCUCCAAACAUACAUCCGGCCUCCUAUCAGUGUUCAUCUGUUCGAAACUGAACGAUGGGGCCAGGGUGCCUGAAGAACAGACUCUGACCACGCAUGCACCGUGAUAAAACAGGAAGGAAUGAAUGUUGCAUGUGCGGCGCAUGUGAGAUAAUAGAGGUUGACUGACUGGUUUUGCGAGGACACAAGCAUGCAUGCACCAUCGGCGGUGUGCUCUUCAGUUAUAUAACCAGUGUGACAGAAUAAUCAGAAAUGGUAGCCAAGUGGCCAACCAGCCUAGUUUUCUUCAGCUACAACGUCCCGUAUGCUUGUGUGUUACACUUGUACCGGUAGUGGGGUGGUUGUGUUAGUAUUCUAUGGUCUGUAGAUUAAAUAUAAAUCCAUGUGAAGUCGGGUGGUUCUGACAGUAAAAGCUUUUUUCCCCACCUACUUAACAGAAGUUGGAUGUGGGAGACAAAAACACUGUUUAGUUCCAAAAAAUUUUGCAAAACAGGUACUGUAGCACUUUCGUUUGUUUGUGACAAAUAUUGUCCAAUCAUGGAUUAACUAGGCUCAAAAGAUUCAUCUCAUCAAUUCCGACCAAACUAUGCAAUUAGUUUUUAUUUUUGUCUAUAUUUAAUACUCCAUGCAUGCGUCUUUUGACGGGAAAUCUGAAAAAUUUUGCAAAAUUUUUUGAGAAGUAAACAAGGCCUAGUUACCGAAAAGCUAACAGGUUAUUCGUGGUAGUUACCCAAAAUUAAAAAAAAUGUUUCUCUAAUUCGAAUCUAAAGCUGGAAUGCUGACAAGUUGAUGGCUGAUCAGCUGGCAGCAGUUAAAUUUUGACUGAUAAAGAAGCGCACAUCCACACUAUUAUUCGCUGAAACGAGAAGGAUACCGAAUGUGCGUACAUGUGCCAGCCUAGUAGUCAGUGUAUGCAUGCAUGUUGCAUGUAUACACAUUACUGGCUUCGCUCCAAUUCCGUCCUUGUCCCUCCUACCUGGAACGGGACUGAUCAACGAAACAGGAUUUUGUUGCUUUGUGAUGCAUUGCACAUGUGGCGUUCAGGAUAUAUAUAUAUAUAUAUAUAUAUAUAUAUAUAUAUAUAUAUAUAUAUAUAUAUAUAUAUAUAUGAUCAAAUCAUCCCAGCUGCAUGGCCGGCUGAUAUAUCCACCUGGAUUGGUAUUCCUGUACUUUGUAAGUUUUUCAGCUGUUAACCUUAUAAUAAUACCCUCUUUUGUGUUUCUACUGCUGCUUAGGAAAUGAAUGCAUACUUCUUUGUAUUGUAACGUGAACGCGAGAGUUUGGCACCGUCGGUGCAAGAGGGGUACAACACAACACAUAUAUAUAUUCCUAGCAAAGUACUGUACUGCAGAUUAUUAGCGCAUCAAAAUAAAAAAAAAGUUCUCCAUUGAAGCGAGGAAUACCGGGGAGCAUAUACAUGUAUCCCCACAUCUCCACAUUUAUAUAUACGUGCACGAUUAAAUUUGGGACUCCAACAAACACCUGCUUGCACCGACACAUAUAUGAGGCUGAUGACGCGCAAAUGAAUGAAUCGAUUAUGCGCACAUAUGUUUGUGUAAUGCUCUUUAGAAAAACGGGCAACUAGUGUUGAACACACCAAACGAACACAUGCAUAUAUAAACACUCGUACCUGUCAGGGUUAUUCAAUUUAUUUUUUACCGCUAGUAGUAUCAUGGGGUGGAAGUGGAAUAUAUAAUCGUUGGCAGAUAAAAUUAUGCAGAAAUGAAUGAGGGGGCCGGGUGACUAAUUGCAGGCAGGCAGCACAUUUGUUUAGGCGGAGCUAGGUAUACCUCACGUGUCUCGCAAGAUAGCUAAAAACGUAGUAUGGUUAUUGACUGACGACGACGACUGCGGCCACGAAGGCUAACCAUCCUGGUUUGCCGGCCCCCAAAAGGGAUCAGCCUGAAAAUGACAGGCCACCCGAACUGCGGUGGACGUGCGGCUGGGGCCGUGCCGACCGACACGGUUGGGGUACGUACUUUGCCGGUGCACGAAGCCGCGCGUUCUCUCGGGCCGUGCGGGGUGCGUGCGAGCGUGUGCAGCAGCGCCAGCACGGGCGCGCACGGCGGACACGGAACGGAAGGGCAAGCAGAGCAGCAAGGGUCCCCCGCGCCCUGCUGCUGCUGCUGCUGCUGCUGCUGCUUCCGCGCGCAAAUCCGCACGCGGGGACCCGGCCGGAACGGAUUGGGUGGGGGGUCGUGGCGGCGGCCUCCUGCCGCGGGUUUUGGUGCUCCCCGCGCUGCGCCACCGACACCGACACAUCUGCAUCUCACGCGGCAUUUUUCUCCACAACCCGGCCUGCUCGUUAACGCGGCGGCCCAUGUGAACCGGUUGCUUGCCAUGCCCCGGCACGUUUCAUUUUGGCCUGCCGUCGCAUUCUUUUUUUUUUUUAAUUUCUUUUUCGGCACGCGACACUUCCAUGGGCCCCGUAUUCUCUUGCAUUUUUUGCCCGUUUAAUCCGCACUAUUGACAGAAAGGGUGGAUGAAAAAAAAGGGACAUGUUUGGCCUACUAUACACCUCGUAACCAAAUACUGUAGGAGUCAAAUCCACGUAUGCGUACAUGAGUAGUACAUGCGUGGUUCAUCUCUAUUCGCUAGACCGAAAAACUAUAACAAUUAUUACUAAAUGAUAGAUAGAUUCAGCUAAUAAAUUUAAAUAAAUAAGGAAUAUCGGCCGAUCUCAAUUCCCUGUGAAAUCCUGGCAAACUGCAUACAGUUCUGAACGUGCUAACGAAACCACUGACGAUUGGGUACCGUACCGGUGAGCCAACACCUGGCUUUCUGACUCGUGGGGCCUAGUCCUGUGUCACUCUCGUGGUGCGAUGACGAUCAUCCAGGUGCCCGCCAGUUGAUUGAUGUUGAUAUUAAUGUUGAUUUAUUACGAGAGAGAAAAAAAAAUAUUGUUUUAUGUCUAAAAAGUAAUGUUUGAUAAAUUUAAUUGAACCACAACGGUUGCUCAUGCACACGCAUCUUUGCACUUGCAUUGCAUCUUGCUCGGGAAUAGAUGAAAAACCAAUAGUGAAAACUCCUAUACAGGCCACUUCAGCAUCCGGGAAAUUCAUAGCUAAAUCAGCACAUCGUCGUUUUUCCACGGGGUCUAUACCGAACUUGAAACAUACAGGAAGACUUGGGCCCCCAGGUCGUUGCAGACUUUUUUUUUUUACUUGGUUAUUAUCGUGGCACGUACAAGACUUGAUCAUCUAGAGAGAUGCCCACUUUGUGAUUAGGAAGAUGAGAGAAUCUGAUUUGCACACUACAUGUAUGUAUCUCAAGAGAGGUUUGGCACUCCAGCUUGCCCUUGGUUGGUCUUUCAGCACUCAGCAGCAAACCCUACUACAACUGGACAACUCCAAAUCUAUGAGCCGAGUUGAUAGACACAAUCAGUCCAUCACAAUUCACAAAGGCUUCCAUUCUCUAGUUGUUUUGGUGCCUUUGGGGCCGAUGGUUAGCAGAUUCAGGUGAGGAACUGCUGUGGAUGGAAAUUUCCAGUUUUUGUUCAGGCGCAACAGAAAACUAGAUGGAGUAAAAGAACGAAAUUCAAUGGAUGAGGGAGCAGUAAACUUGCACGGAUUAGCAACUGGUUACUUGCUUAGACAGAGGGUUCGGAUACACACGGUUAGUCGGUUACGUCUCCCUCCCUACGAGCAACUCCAAAAGCCUAGCUAAAAUUAGUAGGCAAAUUUUAUUGUUUAGUCAUUUUAUAAAGUAGAAAACUCUUAUGUCAGUGGUUGAUUAUAUAUGGCCAGCGAAAAUCAAGGAAUAAUCAACUUUCUAUUUUAUAAAACUAGAUAGUACAUGUGUUGGAGUCUACAUUUUGUUAUGUAAAUUCUAAAAUAGCCUCUACAACAACAAUAGCUAAGCUGUUGGAGUUGCUCCUACGAAGAAAAUUUACUCAACCUACUUACAUUCUUUUAGUAACAGAAAAGAUGGCAACAGAUACAACAAGGCAAACAGUUCCCUCUUUAAUUAAGGAACGAAUAAUUAUUUAUGAUCAUUACAGAUUUGCAGUGCAUGACCAUGACAAGAAAUCGUUAUUUCAAUUAGCAGUACGUCCGCGGACACAAGGGCGGCGAGUGAGUGAAGAGCCCGAUCAUAGCAAGUUCCUAACACACUUGGCCAUGGAAUGGAACACACUUGGACCUUUCUCUGUUUGUUGUCUCCAAACGGCAUAAGUGCAAAAACGAACGCGUGCACAUAUGAGUCUCAGAAAACAAAUCGUAAGAUAUCCAUGAUCUGAUCAGCGAAGAAUAUAAUGAGACCGCAUAGGUCACUCUGUGUACAACAUAUAUACAUACAACAACACAUCAUCCAGCCAAGAUAUCACUGUGGCCCAUUGGUCCCAUCAGGUACAUCACUUCAUCUGAACCUCAUGUUGGUCGCUUGCUGUUUACGUUGGUCAACAAGGUUACGGUAUAGACUCAAUACUAUGCGUCAUGUGAUGGCAUCGAUUCUCCACGAACUCUACUGUGCCGCUGUUGGAACAAGGCCAGCGAACCAUACAGCAGUAUGAAAAUGAGUUGACAAAUCCAGUGCACCAAUUGGAGCACCACCGUCAUAACCCUUUGAAGGGCAAAAAUUGUUUUGGUUUCUAUUCUUCCUCCUCCACCUCAGGUGGCAACGUUGGGCUCUUUGAGCACACAGUGGUGUUAUGGAGCUGCUUUAUUUUGUCAGCUAUGUUACAAGUACCUGGAAUAGGAUGAGGAUUUAUCACAACAAAUUUCCUUGCAUAUAUUUGAGUCCAAAUAAUAGGAAUAGAUGUUAAUUCUUCAGUAUGAGUAGUCCUGAUGCAGUCACACAUCAAAUAUAAUCUCGGCAACGAUGAAAAGUGUGAACAUACUAGCCAUUUUGCAGUAAGUAGAAGUACCAAGAUUAGAUAGCAAAAUUGAUUCAGACUUCCCUAUUGCUAUGAUAAUGAUAGAUAGUUUCUGAAGACACACCUGAACAUUUCUUACUGUCCCAUACAGCAAUGGAGGUAGGAGUGCAUAUUGAAUCACACAUUGCUCUGUUGUCUUCAUGCUUUACAUUCAUAGCAAGCAUCCAUGCGCCGACUGUAACAUCUUCGUAAUCAAACAUCCUUAAGCUGGAAAAUGCACGCAUGUAUAAUGACUAUUUCGAAUACACAAGAAACAAACAGUAAAGAGAAGUCAUAAUAAUGGCAAAAAUGUUGGACUGAACUAAUAUUAUGUACACUCUAUUACCAUGAACCCUAUAGUUCUUUUUGCUUUGAUAAAUAACAAACCAUACAGUUCAUUUGGUGCUGAUAACACAUAACAACUCUAGUACAAUGCAACAUAUUGAUAUCUGGGUGUACCCUGCAUAUCUUUAACUUACAUGCAUACAAACCAUCUAAAUGGCAUUCCCUAGAAACAUGAAAUCCUUGGAUUAACACACUCCCAUGUAAAGGUGAAAAAGAAGGUCAAUCCAAUUAUUCCAUGAGUGCAAGCAAAAUAUGAAAAGUCAGUAGCAUGUUGGAUGUAAGCUUGGGUUUAAGCUUGUUGGAUGCACUUCAAUUUCCCAUAUUUCAGGUGAAAAGAGAAGUCACAAAAUUAUAAGUGACCAACCUAUCACUCUUUGUAGUAGCUAGAGCUUCAACCACCUCAGAAGAAAGAGCAUAUAGUGAACCAGAAGCAUGCAUGAAGUACUCGUUACCCAAAAGUUCCCAAGAACUUUCGUACCUGAAAUUUAAACAGGAACACUUCAAAGAAUAGUAUUAGUGUGAAGGCCAAGGGAUCAAGCAGCUGACAACAUCCAGCACAUCCUUUUUGUCUCGAAAAACACAGGAGAGCUGCACAUCACUAUAUUAAGAAGUAACAAUGGGAAAGAACCCAUACAACACACCCCAGGCCAGCCAAAAGGCAAGCCCCAGGGACACAAACUCACACUCACACCGACUCAUGCCAACUCACAACAUCCAGCACAUCUUGUCUCCUGUGUAUAAGAAAGGGAAGUGUGGUUUAUUGUGUUACGGAAGCUGGAUUUACAGGCUCUUGUUCCUGACUAUAGUUCUUGUAUUUGGUGGUGCCAUGCAUUCAAAAGGGUGGACAAGCAGCGUAGAAAAGGCUGAAACACUUCCACUCGUUUGCUGGUUUGGGAGCUAUGGAAACAUCACAAUGGUUGCUUAUUCAACAGGGCUUAGGGACUUGAAACUUUGGUGGUAAGGGCAGUAGUGGAGAAGCAUCCCUUAUGGUGUGCAUCUGGGGCUAAAGAUCUCCAUAACAUUUUCUAAGGCCUGCUGCCUCAGUUCUUUGGUCAUCUUUUAUUUUGCUCACCCGCAUGCCUGUUCUUUGCUUAUGGGGGUUUGGUUGUGUUUGUUGUGUCACUUUGUGUUCAGUAAAGAAAUAAUUACAAUGCUAUGGAUGCAAAAGAGACGUAUGGAAAUCAAUUUAGAAGCCACAUAUGUCCCAGAAUUUGAACUGACCAUUUUAUUUGUAAUACAUAUUUCCUGGAAUAAGAACUGAUUAACUGACCAUUUCAUAUUUGGAUCAUUGACAACUGGUCCCUUCUUCAUGCAACCAAUGUAUGUCUUGUGCUGAGCUCUUUCUUUUGCAAGAAGAGCAGCAAGUCUAUCUGCCUUAGAAGUAUGAGUCAUAUAACAGGUCUAAGAAGCAGCAAUUGUACAAUAUAGUCACUAACUUCACCUGGGCGCAGGUAGAUAUCAUCAUUAGCUUUGACAUAGAAUUCUGCAUUGAACAUGUGGUAAGCUGCUUUGAAAAAUGCUAACCUAUCAGACAGGUAACAAAAGUGGGACUGGUUAGAUUAACCACAUGUAAGUUCACAGGUACCAUACGACGGUAAAGAGUGUACACAAACUUACAUCUUCUGUGGGGGCUUUGUGUCCUCAUCAGCAUCAAUAAACAAAAAGUCAUGAUAAGUAUCCGCCUCUUUCUGAAGAUCUUCCAUUUUAUCUUUGUCCUUUGGCCGUCUAGUGACAAACCUAAAAGACAAUCCAGUUCCAUGUUCUAAACUGCAAUACAGAAGAAAUGGCUGCAGUAAGCCCCAAAAGCUUCAACAUGGUACAACAGAAUUGUUCUUGCACAUGAGCACAGAUGUCAGAGUCCAACUUGGAUUCAGGUAUUUGAUUUGUCCAAAAUACAAAAGGGCACAUGAGCACUGAGUCCAAGAACACUUUAUUCUUGUACAUUCAAAAGCAUUACAGCAUUCCCAUGCAUUCUUUUGUUCUGGAAAUAUAAGAUACACAAAAAUGGAACAUGGAAAUAAGGGGAUUAAUUUUGCCCAUAGAAACUAAAAGGGCGAGGAAAGGAAAACAGAGAGCAUUACUAGAUUUGGAAGAGAUCGAUCUAUUUUGUCUCAUAAUCACAUACACACACAAGGCCCAGCCUCAAAAAUAGUGAAUUGUAUGUCCGAUCACUAUGCUGACACUAUGCCAUAAAUGUGACAAGCUGUCAGUAAACUACUUUUCUCCACGCCAAGGAGUACAGUAAUUAAAUACAGAGUCAUGUAAUUGAACAUUUCAAGACACAUUGCAACACUCAGAACUCAAAAAAAAAAAGAACAAGAAAAAAGAAAAAGGAAAAGAAAAUUAGCUAAACAUACUUUUUUCAAUCACCCAAGAUUUGUUUCGAGUGAACAGUUUUGGAUUGAAUCUCAUUUCUUCACUGAGUCUUCAUAGAUAAUUUCUGCUAUACAUUUCAGGACACCUGAUAUACCACAAUUUGUACUGUACUUCGAACACAGGACAUACUGCACUUUGGACACAGGACGCCUGCUUUGAAAUGAUUAGAAUUGCAAUACAAAUUAAUUUCAGUUCUAAUGAUGUAAUUUAUUAUUAAUGCCUUGUAAAAUGAUGGAACCAAAUUUGUAUGGCUAUUUGAAGUUGUCAUCACUGCCGUUACACGAUAACCUCUUGUUCAUGUUAGCAAUCAUUCAUGAGAAGUUAAUUAUGGUAAAUGGCAACUAGUGGCAGAAAGCAAUGAAUCAAAUCGGCCCAGUUAGUAAGACUCACCCCACCCCGCCCGAUUGAAAAAUUGCGUUCUCAAAUAGUGACCAUUUGCAAUUGGAGCAGAUGACCCAGAGAUCUAAGUUAUAAGCGACCUUAUUAGCAGGAAAAUGCAAGUAACAGCAAGCGCACAAGCAACGUCUUAACCGAUCACAUCAUGGUAGGAGCUAGAUACUAAAAUGCAGCUAGUAGUGUAUACGUGACACGAGCAGCAGCAAUCUAGAUCAUGAAUCUACCCAGAUCCAAAGCUUAUGGAAGUGUGCGGAACCUUACGAUGCCUUCGGGGUUGGGCGGGAACCAGGUAGCGCGGAGCGCAGCGCGUCGGGCAGCGGAGAUGUUGCCGUGCUCCGUGUGUACGCCAACGACAGCGAGCACCUUCUCCCUGUCGCUGGCGGAGAAGUUGCCGUGCGAGGAGGCCGCUAGGAAGGAGCGGAGCGAGUCCUCGGCGCGUCCGCAGCGGAAGGCGACAGUAGGCGGAGGCUGCGGCAGGGGCUGGCGGUUACGGCUGGUGGAGAUGGCGAAGGCGAAGGAGGCGGCGGCGAGGGCGAGGCAGGCGACGGCGAAGAAGAGGAGGAGGCGGUUAGCGGAGGCGGGGGAGGAGGGGAAGGUGGGGGUGUAGGGCCGCCGCGGCUUGGCCUCAUCAUCGGAGCGGCGGUAGGGGAGGAGGUCGUCGUCGUGGUGGCGGUGCUUGGGGUGGUGGAGCGGCAUUGCUACGGUUGCUUCCAGAUGGUUCUAGAAGGAGAGUGGAGGAACAAGAAGCAGAGGAGGUUGGUUUGAUCUGAUCUGACUGUCCGAGCAACGUUGCUUUGGGUUUAAGCUAAGCUUAAUAUGAUAGCCACACUUUUACUUGGACUGUUGUACUGCUAAUCCUUUUGAUUGAGUAGUGAUUUGAGGCCUUGUUUAGUUGGCAAAAUAAAAAGUUUUCGAACACUGCAGCACUUUCGUUUGUUUGCGGUAAAUAUUGUCCAAUUAUAGACAAACUAGACUUAAAAGAUUCAUUUUGCGAUUUAGAGGCAAACUGUGUAGUUAAUUUUUGUUUUUGACUAUAUUUAAUGCUUCAUGCAUGUGUCGCAAGAUUCGAUGUGACAGAGAAUUUUGAAAAGUUUUUAGUUUUUGGGCUGAACUAAACAAGGCCUGAGUCUGACAACUAGCCAAUUUUCCUUUUUUUAACUACUAGCAAAAAUACCCGUGCGUUGCAACAGGAGAUAAAAAACUAUUGAACGUUCAUAAAACAUUAUAGAAAUGAUGCAUAUUUAUUUAUAUUUUAUUAAAUAUAUAAUUUUUGUUAUGAUGACCAUGACAUCCUUGGCCACCAUGGCCGGUAGGGGGUAAGCAUCCAAGCAAGGUGGUAUAGACGCACCUACACAAGCGGUUGCCAGUACGGUGUGAACGGCUGUCGAGUAGAACAUUGUGGCUUCUCGGCAGCACAACACGGCCGCGCAGGCAGGUGGGGAGGUGAUAUGCACAGUGUAACAUCUAAAUUUUGAUUUUCAAAUAAUAGGAUUUAAUUUGAUUUAUUAAAAUAUUUUUGUGAGCAUUUAAUUUAGUGAAUAAAUAAUUUUGAGGGAAAUAAAAUUCAUCAUAGGUUUAGAAACAUGGUUAUGCAAUCAUGCUGGAGCAUAGUGUUUCUGUACUGAUUAUUUUGAUUUUAUUUUAUCUGUUUUUGCCCAAAACUCUUUUGGAAAAAGAAUUGAAAAGAAAAGAAAUAAAAAGAAAAAGGGGAGAAGCCCUCGGAACCAGGCCGAGGCCCAGCUCCCCAUUUCUUCCCACCCGCGGUCAGCCAUCCCCGCGGCCCAUCUCUUCUCCCCGGCCCAACUCACGGCGACUGGGCAGGCGCGCCCCUCCUCUCCCUUUGAUCCGCUGACAGCUGGACCCCGUCUCUUUCUCUCUAACCGAACGGGCCCGCAAGUCAGCGCUACUGUUCUUCUUCUUGCCAACCGUAACCAAGCUGGCCUCGAAUUCCCUAGCAGGAAAUCCCGAUUCCUUCGGGAUUUGAUCGCCCCAACCCUUCUAAAGCCCUGCGGUUUCCCCUCUACUCCGUCUUCUCUUUCCAUGCCACGGCAGGAGCCCUAGCCGAUGCCGUAAGACCCAGUCGGGAUCUCACCGUGGAGCAGAUCGCGCCGUCGCCGUGGUCGUCAUCUCCUACUGCGCAAAGAUCGUCGACAAACUGUGUGCCGAGCUUCGCAGCAAGGUAGCGGAACCUCCGAGCGUCUUCCCGUGUCCUCUCUCAAGUCCAGAAGCCCGUGCAGCCUCACCGAGCACUGUAGGGGAGCUCUCGUCCGCCAUUGCACGCUGAGCGCCCUUCCCCGAGAUCAAUCCGAGCCCCGAAGACCCCUAGGUGAGUUCGCGUGAGUCCCCGCUUCGUCCCCGUGCCCUUGGUUUGGAGUUUGGCCCGUCGUAGCGCGCGUUCCACAUCUCCGGCGAUGCUCCGGCCAAGGCGCCGCCGUGGGUGGCCUUGUCCCGGCCGGACCGCCGCCUGAUGCCCCUGGAAGAAACCUGGACCGUUGGAUGAAGGAUCGGUGGCCGAGAUUAGAAGAUACCCCUUCGGGGUGUAUUUUCGUAAGGAGUCCCUGAGUUUUUCCAAAAUUAAACCCGCGAUCCAAAGCGCCAUAUCAGGUUUACGUUUUCUAGGUUUUGAAAACGUAUUUUCUCCCGACUCAGUUCUAAAUACGUUUUCACUAAUUACAAGAUUGCCAUUGAUUUUGUAAUGCUCAUAAAAUAUUCAUUUUAACUCCGUUUUUGUCCAUUCAAAUUGCGUUAGAUUCGUCUUCUCGAGAUCUACGUGUUAGUAUCACUGUUUUCUCAGUUUGAAACCUUUUAGUUUCGUGGUACUAUUUAAUUAUUUAUUUAUCUAUAGGAAAUCUUGGAAAAUUCAUAUUUUCUCCGUUUUAAUUCCGAUUUUCGUGAACUUUACGUUUGUGUGAUCGUAGUGCUGCGUAGAAUAUUUUGGUAAACUUUUAUAUUUGUUUUACUACUGUUUGGUGUAAUGUUCUAAUUAUAGUUUGUUUGCUUCGUGUAUGAUUGUCUACAUUGGACUGUGUGUUGUUGAUUGAUGAUUGGGAUUAGACGGUGAGCCGUACGUUGGUGAUCAAGAUCAAACCUUUGAGGACCAGCAGGCUUAGGAGAGCUUUGAGCAAGGCAAGUAUAACUUGGGAUUAUCCUUAAUACCUACACACUUUUAAUACAUAUUUCAUAUGCAUGUGUCCACCUUGAUGACCUUAGCAAAAUCAUAGAUGAUUGUUAUCCUGAAUUCCUUGUUACCUAUUUGGAUAUGCAUUUGGGUAGUUCUUGCUACUGUUUGAUUAUUAAUCCAUGAUCUUGUAACAUGAAUAUUUGAAUAUACAAUAAACAAUAAAAUAAGCUUUCUAGCAACUUGAAUAUAAAGGGUGGGAAGAACUCUGGCUUUUGCUGGAUUGAUCUUGACCCUCCAUAAGGACUUAUCCCUUGGCAAAAGCUGGGACAACUCGUACAACCAUGAGGGCUAUAUGGCUCUGGCUUUAGCUCAGUAUGAAGAACUUUUCCAGCUUGUUAGAGGUUACCCGAAAGGGCGGAGGGGCUGAACCGUUUUGGGUAUAGUGUGGCCUCUGUCUGUAUGUGUAUAGGCUGCGAGUCAUUGUGCCAUCGAAAGGGGGGCUCUAUAUCUGCGCGCAAAGGAAACCUUGCGGCCCUAACAUGUUAGACGAACUUUUGAAAGGCUUCAUAGUGUCUCUGCCGACCUCUCUUGGAAGGGGGUUAAGAGAUUAGCUACCUCGGGCGAAAGGGUAAAUCAUGACUCAUGGGUAAAGAUGUACAACCUCUGCAGAGUGUUAAAUCUGGUAUACUAGCCGUGCCCACGGAUACGGGCGACCCGGAAAACUGACGGAAUAGAUGGACACUGAUGAACGUGAAUAAUGAUAAUAAAUGAUGGUUUAUUAUGUUGUUUAUAUGAGUUAUUCUUAAUUCUUGUAUACAUUGAUCAUGUGGUUAUGGGAUUAAUUAUGCUACCUUGAUAUUCGCUAUCCAAUGAUUAAACAUGCUAUCCACUAUUAAAAGCUAAAUGCAGUCAAACCAGUGUCAGUUAUUUUGAGCCUCAUGAACCCCUGGUUAUACUUGUUGAGUACGAUAUGUGCUCACUCUUGCAAUUUCCCAACACCCCAGGUUAUGAUAAUGAUGAUGCUUGGAAUGAGGACUACCGUUAUGAGUACUAGGUUUGGAGUCAACCAGUCAAUGCUGUCCCUGUGUGGAGCUUCCGUCGAGAGCGAUGUUUACUUUAUGCUAUCAUUUUUGUAUGAGACUAUGUGAUAUAUUAUAUUCCGCUAUGUAAUAAACACUGCAAUGGUACAUUUGAGAUUUGUCUACUUAUGUGUGCGACUGUUUCUGGAGCACAUAUGAGUCUUUCAUGCAUCCUAUUUUGUUCUUAAAAUAUGGGUGUGACACACAGCCUCGCCGACGGAGCACAGGAGCGGCCUUGGUGAGCGACGGAGCGUGGGAGUAGCAUCCGCAGGUUGGACGUGCCUUCGACAGCUGGUGUGGGCGUUGUCAGGCGCUGGAAAGAUGCAUCAGCGGCAUGGGGAAAUAAGCGAGCUCGCCGACACAUCGACGACAUGGGGAGACGAGCGAACGUGCCGACGCAGCGGCGACGCCGAGAGACGAGCGAGCAAUGAAACCAUUAGCGGCGGCACGGAUAGGGGCUAUGGAUACGAAUUUCUUUUCCCUGGAUGCAUAGUAGCAACUCAACUUGGGCCUUAGUGAGGGGUCGCAGA
rnacentral:lncRNA from 1 species